AUCUUGAAUCUUUCAACUACUACCAGAAUGCACCGCGCGGAGAAGCGACGGAAUCAUGAGCUCGUGCGCGCUUGGGAAACUUCGGAUGAUCCGGGAUCAGAUUUGGCAUUUGCGCACAACCGACGGAACAAGCAAAACAAGAGCCCCUAUAACGAUCUCAGAUGAGCUCAUACUACACCGCCAACAUGCUUCCCAGACCGAGAACCGAUAAAACAAAAGGGGUCCUGCACGCUCCCAUGGUUUGCUGGAAAUUACAAGACCAGACUUGCUUCCCCUUCAGCGAUUUCAGAGCCUACUCACACUAUGCUAUCCGAACCAUGCCCAGGCCCGUUUCCCGGAUCGUUUGAGAAGUGUGAGUGCUCUGAAUCGGGCUCAGGAAUGGUUCACUUGGCCGGGCCUGACCCGGUUGGAAGAGGUGUCCCAGAGCCCGGUUCACUUGGCGCGCCAAAACCCGAAACUGAAAGCGAGACGUGACUUUAAGGGACCGUUUCAUAUGCUUUUAUUAAUCAUUCUUACUGUUCAAUGAACGCAAACUGUCGUAGUUUAUUAAAGACGCAAACCUCUCACUGCACGAAAGCUCCGCACCUUCAGCAAUCCUCCUAAUUCCUGCAGCACGAGGACUUUACGAUUGUUUAUGAGCGUCAAAAGUGGCUGAUCUGUUCGGCGAAAUUAUUGACUGCGUGUCGCUGCAUAUCAAAUGACUAAAAGACAUCUAAUUGAAAUCCAAACAUAAAUCUUUGCUAACACAAGGCUAAAUUUGGUCAGAAAAUCUAAUAGAUGCAAGUAAUUUAUGAUAUAAAAAAACCCACAAUAUUUUUUAUAUUUGCUUCGAGUUUAUCAGGAAGUGACGAUUUUGUUUUCUUUGACUUAU